UCCCGACCCGAAAUGAAAUCGAGCAGAAAUCGAAAAACCCUAGUCUCUCUUCGUUCGUCCUUUUGUUCUUCAUCAGUUCAUCUUCGCUGUACGUUCCCGACUGAAAUCGAAAAUCUCUCAACUCAGUUCAUCGGUGAUCAGUCAUCGCAAGUUUCGUCUCCUGCUUUGAGCUCGAUCAUCGCAAGUUUCAUCUUCUCCUUCGAGCGAUAAAGUUGGCUCCAUCCUCUUCUUCUUUGAGUUGCAGAGUCCAGACCAAAGUCAUUCCUCUUCUCCUUCGAGCAAUAGAGUCCAAAGUGUCAGAAGAUUCCUUUUCUCCUUCCAUCAUUCGAGCAGUAGCUUCUGUGAUUGCAGAGUCUAGGCCAGAGUCUCCAGCAUCCAAACUGACGACGGCACGGCAGCAGUUCGAGCACGGUUGCUAGCUAGACAAUGAAUUCUGUUGGUGCCAGCAACAGCAACACACCCAUGCUUCAGAUGGUUGGAUUAAGGAUGUGUAUGCCCUCAUUCUUUUGUUGCAAACAAGGGUGCUUCAUGUAAGAGUUACAUUUUUUAUUCAUGAUGUAAGAGCUACUAUUUUGGAAAUUAAUGUAGUAAUGCUUUGGACGUUA